GGGGAUCAAGAGGUGCAUGUUACAUCUGUCUGCAGCAGGAGCAGAGCAAAGGUCUGAGCUCCAGCCUGGCUCCUCCUCCACUGGAUGAUGAGCUGCCAGUAAGUCAAAGGCUGGAGCAGGUGAAGGUCUGUCUCAGCCACCAAUCAGCUGGUGACAAAGGAAGAGUGGUUGUCACAUAUGACAUCAUCAAGGUGUACAAGACGUUCUGAGCUGUGGUAUCAGCUUGGAGGGAACCUGUGAAGACCUGAAGGUUGCAUGCUGGCUGCUGGACCCUAGCAGUGAGGAGAGGACACUUCCAAACAUGGUGACUGUCUAUUGUCCUGAAGAGUUACCCCUGCUGGA